rnacentral:rRNA from 2 species
CGGGUGCGUAACGCGUAUGCAAUCUACCUUUUACAGAGGGACAGCCCAGAGAAAUUUGGAUUAAUACCUCAUAGUAUAACGACCUGGCAUCAGGAUGUUAUUAAAGUUACAACGGUAAAAGAUGAGCAUGCGUCCCAUUAGUUAGUUGGUAAGGUAACGGCUUACCAAGACGAUGAUGGGUAGGGGUCCUGAGAGGGAGAUCCCCCACACUGGUACUGAGACACGGACCAGACUCCUACGGGAGGCAGCAGUGAGGAAUAUUGGACAAUGGGCGCAAGCCUGAUCCAGCCAUGCCGCGUGCAGGAAGACGGUCCUAUGGAUUGUAAACUGCUUUUGUACAGGAAGAAACACUACUUCGUGAAGUAGCUUGACGGUACUGUAAGAAUAAGGAUCGGCUAACUCCGUGCCAGCAGCCGCGGUAAUACGGAGGAUCCAAGCGUUAUCCGGAAUCAUUGGGUUUAAAGGGUCCGUAGGCGGUUUAAUAAGUCAGUGGUGAAAUCUGGUCGCUCAACGAUCAAACGGCCAUUGAUACUGUUAAACUUGAAUUAUUGUGAAGUAACUAGAAUAUGUAGUGUAGCGGUGAAAUGCUUAGAUAUUACAUGGAAUACCAAUUGCGAAGGCAGGUUACUAACAAUAUAUUGACGCUGAUGGACGAAAGCGUGGGUAGCGAACAGGAUUAGAUACCCUGGUAGUCCACGCCGUAAACGAUGGAUACUAGCUGUUGGGCGCAAGUUCAGUGGCUAAGCGAAAGUGAUAAGUAUCCCACCUGGGGAGUACGUUCGCAAGAAUGAAACUCAAAGGAAUUGACGGGGGCCCGCACAAGCGGUGGAGCAUGUGGUUUAAUUCGAUGAUACGCGAGGAACCUUACCAAGGCUUAAAUGUAGAUUGACCGGUUUGGAAACAGACUUUUCGCAAGACAAUUUACAAGGUGCUGCAUGGUUGUCGUCAGCUCGUGCCGUGAGGUGUCAGGUUAAGUCCUAUAACGAGCGCAACCCCUGUUGUUAGUUGCCAGCGAGUCAUGUCGGGAACUCUAACAAGACUGCCAGUGUAAACUGUGAGGAAGGUGGGGAUGACGUCAAAUCAUCACGGCCCUUACGCCUUGGGCUACACACGUGCUACAAUGGACGGUACAGAGAGCAGCCACUGGGUGACCAGGAGCGAAUCUACAAAACCGUUCUCAGUUCGGAUCGGAGUUUGCAACUCGACUCCGUGAAGCUGAAUCGCUAGUAAUC